rnacentral:rRNA from 1 species
CAGUCGCCAACGGGAAUACAGAGGGUGCGAGCGUUAAUCGGAUUUACUGGGCGUAAAGCGUGCGUAGGCGGCUAAUUGAGUCGGAUGUGAAAUCCCCGAGCUUAACUUGGGAAUUGCAUUCGAUACUGGUUAGCUAGAGUGUGGGAGAGGAUGGUAGAAUUCCAGGUGUAGCGGUGAAAUGCGUAGAGAUCUGGAGGAAUACCGAUGGCGAAGGCAGCCAUCUGGCCUAACACUGACGCUGAGGUACGAAAGCAUGGGGAGCAAACAGGAUUAGAUACCCGAGUAGUCCCUGUCUCUUAUA